rnacentral:rRNA from 1 species
ACCCCCUACGGGACGCAGCAGUGGGGAAUAUGCACAAUGGGGGAAACCCUGAUGCAGCGACGCCGCGUGAGCGAUGAAGUAUUUCGGUAUGUAAAGCUCUGUCAGCAGGGAAGAGAAUGACGGUACCUGACUAAGAAGCCCCGGCUAACUACGUGCCAGCAGCCGCGGUAAUACGUAGGGGGCAAGCGUUAUCCGGAUUUACUGGGUGUAAAGGGAGCGUAGACGGCUGUACAAGUCUGAAGUGAAAGCCCGUGGCUCAACCGCGGAACUGCUUUGGAAACUGUAAAGCUGGAGUACUGGAGAGG